UACAGAGGUCCCAAGCGUUGUUCGGAUUUACUGGGCGUAAAGGGCGCGUAGGCGGUCGUGACAAGUCACUUGUGAAAUCUCCGGGCUUAACUCGGAACGGUCAAGUGAUACUGUCGGACUAGAGUGCAGAAGGGGCAACUGGAAUUCUCGGUGUAGCGGUGAAAUGCGUAGAUAUCGAGAGGAACACCUGCGGCGAAGGCGGGUUGCUGGGCUGACACUGACGCUGAGGCGCGAAAGCCAGGGGAGCGAACGGG
rnacentral:rRNA from 1 species